UACGUAGGGGGCAAGCGUUGUCCGGAUUUAUUGGGCGUAAAGAGCGUGUAGGCGGCUAGGUAGGUCCGUUGUGAAAACUCGAGGCUCAACCUCGAGACGUCGGCGGAAACCAUCUGGCUAGAGUCCGGAAGAGGAGAAUGGAAUUCCCGGUGUAGCGGUGAAAUGCGCAGAUAUCGGGAAGAACACCGGAGGCGAAGGCGGCUUGCUGGGCGUGAUCUGACGCUGAGGCGCGAAAGCGUGGGGAGCAAACAGG
rnacentral:rRNA from 1 species